GGGGAACGAUAACGGCGUCGAGCGGCGGACGGGUGAGUAAUGCCUAGGAAAUUGCCCUGGUGUGGGGGAUAACCAUUGGAAACGAUGGCUAAUACCGCGUGAUGCCUACGGGCCAUAGAGGGGGACCUUCGGGCCUCUCGCGGCAGGAUAUGCCUAGGUGGGAUUAGCUAGUUGGUGAGGUAAGGGCUCGCCAAGGCGACGAUCCCUAGCUGGUCUGAGAGGAUGAUCAGCCACACUGGAACUGACACACGGUCCAGACUCCUACGGGAGGCAGCAGUGGGGAAUAUUGCACAAUGGGCGCAAGCCUGAUGCAGCCAUGCCGCGUGUGUGAAGAAGGCCUUCGGGUUGUAAAGCACUUUCAGGCGUGAGGAAGGGGGCGUCGUUAAUAGCAGCGUUGUUUGACGUUAGCGACAGAAGAAGCACCGGCUAGCUCCGUGCCAGCAGCCGCGGUAAUACGGAGGGUGCGAGCGUUAAUCG
rnacentral:rRNA from 1 species